CAGAACAGGAACUCAAACAGGGCGGUA
rnacentral:piRNA from 1 species